UUCUGCCUGGACACUCUUGCCACACCCUGUCGGUCCAAGCAGCACCACCCGUGGGGUGUGUGGAGCUUGAGAGCGUGGAUUUGUCUUGAUAUCUGCGAGCACUGGAAGAUCAGAGAGAUUGAGGUUAGAACUUUAAGAGUUGCAAUCUCUGAAGCAAGCAGCAUAUGUAAACAAAGGCCAUGUGACCGCCUCAUUGAAACAGACAAAAUGGGCAAAGGAAACAGGCUCACCUUGGGAGAAGACAUCAGCUUUUGGCUGGUCAGCAUUGACAGUCUUAUAGAUAUUUUCAUAACAUGCCAAGAUUCCAUCAAUAUGCCUGAAUGAGAAUAGGGUCAAACAAACACAGAGUAAGUGUUAUAGCUUUACCCAACAAUCUUAUGAAUUCUACAUAAUCUCCAUUUGAGUUAAGCCUUUACAAUCAAUCAACCACAAUAAGCCAGUGCCUCCAUUCCCCAUGUACAGACAAGGAUGCCUGGCCAUUUCAUUUCUAACCUUUUCUACUUUUAAGUAGAAUCUACCCUGGAGAAGUCUUAUACCAGUCGAAUACCAGUUUUUGGUGUAUUCUACUUUUUAGUAGGAUACACUUGAGGCCCUGAAUUGUAUGGGUUGCCUGUAGAUGUGCAUUUCCAAAAAGUGCAGAGCAUUAAAUUAUUUAUACUAGCAAUUUCUGGAAAUGCUGAUUUUAAGCUAAAUUAUACUUUAGAGUCCAUGAAAUAAGUACUUUAUAUUGUACUCAGUUAUUCAGCCUUAAAAGUAGAAGAUGAUCAGCAAUUUUGACUAUCCUCCACAUCUUCAUGAAUGCUUGACUCCUGGAUUAUGUGGGUUACCUGUGGUACUCCAUCAGCCUCCCCACCAUGGCUGCCUCUGUGCAUUUGGGGUCUGGCACUAGUCUCCUUACAACUUCAGGAUCGCUGGGAGGAUCAAAUGUGGUGUGGUACACAUCUACAGCCAAUAGCAAUUGUUAUCGACUAUGUCAAGGUAAACACAUAUUGUAUUUAUUUCAAAAAACCCAAGGAUAAAACAUCAAACUGCCAUAUUUUUUGGAAAAUAAAUUCAUAAAUACAGCAAACUAGAAGAGAUAUGAGACUGACAAUACAGGGGAGCAUCAAGGAAUCCUCAAAAGGGGGGAGCCGAAACAUAAACAUAUGGCCAGAGGUGGACUUUGGCUCCAAUUCAUUUUUUUAAAUUUAAGCCAGAACAGAGAGGCCCCUCCAGGUCUGCCCCCCCCCCCCCCUUGAUGGAUCUAGCCCUGCAAUGACAGUGCCUUCAUUUUAUUCACAUUUAUUUACAUCAUCUUACCUCCAGUUUCAGGAUCAACACGUUUACCCAUUACCCUCUCAAUCAAUACGGUGUCAGGGCAGUCAAGGAGAACUGACAAAAAAAAUAGAGAAACAAAAAUCACACUUAAGGGCCUAUGGUACUAUCUUGUUGUUACGAAACUCUGUUGCCUACGAAAGGGAAAAGCGCUUCAUUCGGUUAAAUAGACUAAAAACGCCACAUGCUUUCCAUCUUGAUUCUGUGGCCCAGUGGUUAGCACCUUUGACUCGUAAGCAAGCGUUCUGGGUUCAAUCCCCGGUCGGGUUGUUUUUUAUUUUUAUUUUCUUCGAAACUCCAGUUCUAAUUUUCUUUUUUCUUUUUUUUUCCCAAGAGAUUAAAAUAAACUUUCGACAUUUUGUGGAAGAAAAUGCAAUAAUAUAUGUUUUUCGAGAAUAAAAACAGAUGGCGAAAAAAUCAUUUCACAACAAUUGUGAUUUUUUUUCAUUCAAACCAUUGAUAUUACCAUUCCUAACAACUUAGCGCAUGGGAUUUUUGAUUUUUGAAGAAAUGAAAAAGUUAUUACCAAAUAUGUGGUUUUUGAAGAACAUAAAAUUUCGCCAUUUCUCGUGGUAUCAAAAUUUUGCAAAUCAGAUGAUUAAAAUAUGUGAUGUGAUGUUAAAAUAUUUCUGCAACAAAAACUAUAUUAGAUUUCAACAGUAGCUUCUCCGACACGUUUUUCUGUUCUGGGUCACAUGACCAUGGGAGGGGUCAGAUGACGUCAUCACUUAUGUCAUUUAUGUCUAAAACACUUAUGUUGAAAGUUCCAAGAGAUUUGACAAAAAACAGAAGUUUAUAAAACAAACACAUUUCCCUAGCAACAGACUCAAAAGGCCCUUAAUGCCUUGAUAGAAAGCACAACCAAAUCACUUUGAUCACUUUUUAUUUAUGACUACAUAUUGGAAAAUUAUUCCCAAAAGUACCAUAAACUUCCCUUAACUAUUAAUUUUGUGAUUAGAAAUACUAAGAUACUGGGUUUAUCAUAAUCUACUUCCCUGGACCAAGCAUACCACACCCAGACCCUGGGGAUUACCCAUCCCCCAUGAAUCUCAUUCCCAGAUCUCUGGAGUAACCACUCUCCUGGACCAGCAUCCCACAUGCAGAACCUGGGAUUACUAACUCCCCCUGGCCAAGUAUCCAAGACCAUGGCAGUACUCACUUUCCUGGACCAAGGAUCCUACAACAAGACUUUGGGAUUAACCCAUACCCAGACCUGGACCAAGCAUCCAAAAGAACCUGGGAUUACUAACUCCCCCAGGCCUCCCAGACUACCUGACUUUCAGACCAUGGAACUAGCCACUUCCCUGGAAAAAGCAUCCCAUCUGAUGUGAACUUACUGAAGUGGCUUGGAAUGAUCCCUUCUACUUGUAGAGCCAGUGCCUGCAAAAGUCAGCACAAAUUAUGAGUAUUUUGCCUUAUAUUAUACAAUGUCAGGCAGGUAAGCAAGGGACUGGCUACCCGUCAUUCAUCAUCAUUAUAUUCAGGUCCCACUAUGUAAUACAGGGUAGGCAUAAUAAGACAAACAUUAUUUUACCUGUUCCCUUGUCUGUGGGAAGCCUUCAAGUAACCAGCCCUGAAAAAGUAUUGAAUAAUUAGCAUAAUUACACUACAUAAUUACACAUUGAUUAGUAUAAAAGAUGUUUGCCAUGAACAAUAUUAAAUGACAUAACACAUAUAAGCUGGUCCUUAUUUAUGGCCAUAAGGUACCUUUGUUAAACAGUCUGUCUUCUUUAUCCUUUCAGCAAUAAGGUUGACCCAGAUGUGAGUGGGAACUUCCUGUAGCAGAAAAAAAGUGCCACAUAGUCAAUUGGUUUCACCAAGUUUUCAUGACAAACUCAACUAAUGUCAAGCCAUUUCUCUUCAGUGCCACCAAAAGUGCCACCAGUGAUGCAAAGAUAAUACAGUAAACAUUCCUAUAAAUAUGUACCCUACAAAUAUGUAAAAGCAUGGGAAUUAUCUUUGUACACCUUUUUGGCUGCUGGCUGCUGGAAAGAGUAAUACAUUCUCUUAUGGAACACUGAUGAUAUUCCAGUCUUUUUCUUUUAGGUGAAUUGGUAAAAAAAAAAUACUGGGAUUCAGAGGAAAUAUGCAUACCUGUUUGGCUGAAAUAUAUUCAUUGGCCUGCAAACAAAUGAAAAUAUAAGAGAUUUGCCACACUUUGAUGAAAAAGUUAAUAUUAUUCAUGUUUUUAUCCAGUGAACCUAAAAAAAAGGCAACAAAAAUUGUUUAUCAAGACUUCUUGCAAGUAGAACUACCGUAAAUGACCUAAUCAACGCCCUUAUGCAAUGAUUUAACGGUGCAAGUAUGCGGUAAACAGAAACGAGAAGUAGGCCUUAUUCCUGGAUGCUACACUGCGAGGACAAAAUGAAAUAAAAUUCCUGAAAUCGAAGACGCUUCUCGCUUACCAGUGUUGAUUUACCCAAGAAGGCAAUCAAAUUACUAUUUAUAUUUCCAGAAUUCCUACGUCGUUUGUUUUUAAGCUGGCAGGUAAGGGAGAGGGGGAGGGGAGGGGCGUUUAUUAUAGAGGGGCGUUCAUUACAAACUUGUAAGCUUAGGGGGGUUUUCAUUAGAUCAGAGGCGUUCUUUGGAUAAGGGGCGUUUAUUAGGUUAUUUAUGGUACUGUAUAUCUAUUGGUUCUCACCUUGGAUGCCAACUUUGACUCAGACUCGGAGAUGAUGUUGUUGACAUUGAGACAAACACAAUCCAAAUGCUUGCUGAUCAUGACAGCCUGCAAAACACAACACAGGUCGUCAAUCAAGACUGAUAGAUAAACAAAUUUAUUGCUCUCUUUUUCUCAUUCAAAUUAAACAACAAAUAAUAUUUAUCUGUUGUUGAGAUGGCAGCAAACAAGGAAUAGCUAAUCAUUAGUUAAGACAAUUAGAACUCAAUGGAUUUCAGUGGACAAGUCCUAGUGUAAUGAUGCAUUAUGUCAGCCUGCCAGUAGAGCUGUUGUUGAACAAGAUGUUGAACUUUAUCUAACAAGAUUGAUAGGAAGUGAGGUCCGUUAGUUAGAAAAAUUGCAUAAGGUUAUAAUUUAACCCUCUAUAAACAGAGUAUUGUAUUG